rnacentral:rRNA from 1 species
GACGAACGCUGGCGGCGUGCCUAAUACAUGCAAGUAGAACGCUGAAGAGAGGAGCUUGCUCUUCUUGGAUGAGUUGCGAACGGGUGAGUAACGCGUAGGUAACCUGCCUUGUAGCGGGGGAUAACUAUUGGAAACGAUAGCUAAUACCGCAUAACAAUGGAUGACACAUGUCAUUUAUUUGAAAGGGGCAAUUGUUCCACUACAAGAUGGACCUGCGUUGUAUUAGCUAGUAGGUGAGGUAAUGGCUCACCUAGGCGACGAUACAUAGCCGACCUGAGAGGGUGAUCGGCCACACUGGGACUGAGACACGGCCCAGACUCCUACGGGAGGCAGCAGUAGGGAAUCUUCGGCAAUGGGGGCAACCCUGACCGAGCAACGCCGCGUGAGUGAAGAAGGUUUUCGGAUCGUAAAGCUCGGUUGUAAGUCAAGAACGGGUGUGAGAGUGGAAAGUUCACACUGUGACGGUAGCUUACCAGAAAGGGACGGCUAACUACGUG